UACGGAGGGGGCUAGCGUUGUUCGGAAUUACUGGGCGUAAAGCGCACGUAGGCGGCUUUGUAAGUUAGAGGUGAAAGCCCGGAGCUCAACUCCGGAAUUGCCUUUAAGACUGCAUCGCUAGAACGUCGGAGAGGUGAGUGGAAUUCCGAGUGUAGAGGUGAAAUUCGUAGAUAUUCGCAAGAACACCAGUGGCGAAGGCGGCUCACUGGCCCAUUACUGACGCUGAGGCACGAAAGCGUGGGGAGCAAACAGG
rnacentral:rRNA from 1 species